AGCGAACGCUGGCGGCAGGCUUAACACAUGCAAGUCGAGCGGGCGUAGCAAUACGUCAGCGGCAGACGGGUGAGUAACGCGUGGGAACGUACCUUUUGGUUCGGAACAACACAGGGAAACUUGUGCUAAUACCGGAUAAGCCCUUACGGGGAAAGAUUUAUCGCCGAAAGAUCGGCCCGCGUCUGAUUAGCUAGUUGGUGAGGUAACGGCUCACCAAGGCGACGAUCAGUAGCUGGUCUGAGAGGAUGAUCAGCCACAUUGGGACUGAGACACGGCCCAAACUCCUACGGGAGGCAGCAGUGGGGAAUAUUGGACAAUGGGGGCAACCCUGAUCCAGCCAUGCCGCGUGAGUGAUGAAGGCACUAGGGUUGUAAAGCUCUUUUGUGCGGGAAGAUAAUGACGGUACCGCAAGAAUAAGCCCCGGCUAACUUCGUG
rnacentral:rRNA from 1 species